UUUUCUAUGUCAGAUUUUUUUCUUCUUAAUCUUUUUUUCCCUUUCCUCUCUUCCUCUGUUAUUUUUUUCUUUCAAUUUAUGUUGUUAUUUUGGCAGUGGCUCAGGGGCAAAAAGCCAUUAGUAGUACUUAGGACCAAGAAAGUUGUUUUAUUUUUUAUGUUUUUGAGAUGGAGUCUCACUCUGUUGCCCAGGCUGGAGUGCAGUGGCGUGAUCUCAUCUCAUUGCAACCUCUGCCUCCCAUGUUCAAGCAAUUCUCGUGCCUCAGCCUCCCCAGUAACUGGGACUACAGGCAUGUGCCACCACGCCCUGCUAAUGUGUGUAUUUUUAGUAGAGAUAUGUUCACCAUGUUGGCCAGGCUGGUCUCAAACUCCUGGUCUUAAGUGGUCUGUCUGCCUCCACCUCCCAUAGUGCUGGGAUUACAGGCGUGAGCCACCACACCUGGCCCAAGAAAGUUGUUUUAAAUUAAGGAAGUCCAAUAGUUACAAAAAAGCACUCUUAGAUGACAAAUUUUGUUUUAAAUAAGAAAGCAUAAGAGUAUUAUUUCCCCACCCUGUAUAUAUUAAGUGUGAUGCUGAGAUUUGACUUUUCCCUCUUUGUAUUAGCUUGAGAAGUGUUUUUCUAACAACAUGGGAGAUUAUAAACAAGUCAGGCAUUCUAGUAGCCUUCUAGACUGAAAUGAUCAAUUUAAGUUGGCCAUUUUAUGGUCCUAGUGUGAGAUCAAGACAUUUUGGUGUAAUUUUGUCAGCUUUCUACCUAAAAAAUAGAAAUAUAUUUUGAUGUAUUUACUUUUUAUUAUGGUUGCCCUUUCAACAUUUAGAAAAUAAUCUUAAAUCUCUUUUCUAGUGUACUAAUUACUUCAAAUUUUUUUUUCUAGGCAUAAUGUAUACAAAGAAAAAGUGAUGCUUAUUUUCUUUCUUUUUUUAGAAUCUCAAAAUGUAGAUUUUAUUUGUAGUGUUCUUGUGGUGGCUGAUCAACUUCUCAUAACCCGGUUGAAAGAGAUUUGUGAAGUAGCAUUAACUGAAAAACUUACCCUGAAGAAUGCUGCUAUGCUACUGGAAUUUGCAGCAAUGUAUAGUGCAAAACAGUUGAAACUGUCUUGUUUACAGUUUAUAGGAUUGAAUAUGGCAGCUUUACUUGAAGCAAGGUCUCUUGAUGUUUUAAGCGAUGGUGUUUUGAAGGAUCUUUCUGAGUUUUACCGGAAAAUGAUUCCAGCAAUGGAUAGAAGAGUCAUUACACCAUAUCAAGAUGGACCAGAUAUUAGCUAUUUGGAAGUAGAAGAUGGAGAUAUCUUCUUGAAAGAAGAAAUAAAUAUGGAACAAAAUCAUUCGGAAACUAUGUUCAAGAAAGCAAAAACAAAAGCUAAAAAGAAGCCACGUAAACGUUCAGAUAGUUCUGGAGGUUAUAACCUUUCAGAUAUUAUUCAGAGUCCAUCAUCUACAGGAUUAUUAAAGUCUGGUAAGACCAAUUCUGUGGAAUCUCUUCCAGAACUGUUGACAUCAGACUCUGAAGGAAGCUAUGCAGGAGUGGGUAGUCCUAGAGAUUUACAGUCCCCUGAUUUUACAACAGGAUUUCAUUCAGAUAAGAUUGAGGGAAGAUUUAAAACCAUGGGAAAAGUCACCAAUACUUAAAAUAUCUGCUCCACAGCCCAUUCCCAGUAACAGAAUUGAUACUACCAGCUCUGCCAGUUGGGUUGCUGGUUCUUUCAGUCCUGUCAGCCCUCCUGUUGUGGAUCUCAGAACUAUCAUGGAAAUAGAAGAAAGUAGACAAAAAUGUGGAGCUACACCAAAGUCACAUUUAGGCAAAACAGUUUCUCAUGGAGUUAAACUUUCUCAGAAGCAACGAAAAAUGAUUGCAUUGACUACCAAGGAAAACAAUUCAGGAAUGAAUAGCAUGGAAACAGUUUUAUCCACUCCUUCAAAAGCCCCCAAACCAGUGAAUGCAUGGGCAUCUUCUCUGCAUUCAGUUUCAUCCAAGUCAUUCCGGGAUUUCUUACUAGAAGAAAAAAAGUCUGUUACUAGCCAUAGUUCAGGCGAUCAUGUCAAAAAAGUUUCUUUUAAAGGAAUUGAAAAUUCUCAGGCACCAAAAAUUGUCAGAUGCUCUACCCAUGGUACCCCAGGACCAGAAGGCAACCAUAUUUCAGAUUUACCACUUCUAGACAGUCCCAAUCCCUGGCUAUCUUCUUCAGUGACUGCUCCAUCCAUGGUAGCCCCAGUCACUUUUGCAUCUAUUGUAGAAGAAGAACUACAACAAGAAGCAGCUCUUAUUAGAAGUCGAGAAAAACCGUUGGCUCUGAUUCAGAUUGAGGAGCAUGCCAUACAAGAUUUAUUGGUUUUCUAUGAGGCAUUUGGCAACCCUGAAGAGUUUGUCGUUGUUGAAAGGACACCGCAGGGACCACUGGCAGUACCUAUGUGGAAUAAGCAUGGAUGCUAGUUCACUGUGGAGUUGAGAUGCAUUUUUCAUAAUUAUGAGUUUGUUCAUAUAAAGAAAAGCUGUGGAAAAGAGUCUUAGAGAUUUUGUAAUAUCAUUCUAAAUAGAUUAAGAAAAGAUAUAAUUUCUUUACUGCAGUUAAAUCAUAUAAUGUUUGUAUGAUUAAAAAUAAAUUUCUCAGAAUUAUGAUUUUAGUAACUUUAUAUAAAAUGUGUGAGACAAAAACUUAUUAAGGUUAAAUAGAAUUGUUUCUUCUGAAUAAUCUAACAAAGGAAAAUAUAAGUGAUUGAAUCAUAAGAUGAUAUAAGGGGGGUGAAGUAUUAAAAAUAACUUUUUUGUUUGAUAACUUGAGAAUUUAGAAGAUUUUGCCAAGUAUGUGUUGUUGCUUGACUUCUUAAAUAUGGCAUUGAUGAAUUUAAAGUAGGAGCAUCAGUUAUUACUUCUGAUUCAUUAAUGGCCAGAAUUUUGUGUUUGGUGUAAUAGUUGUGUCACCAUUCUUGUUGCUUUUUAAAAAUCAGGCUAGGCAUGUGGUCCAUGUCUCUUCAAAGCUUGACCUGCACAAAUGCCAUAUUUCUAUUUGGACCACAUAUUCUCCAUUUUGCAUUGAGCAGUAGAGUACAGUGGAAAGGGAAUAAGAAUACUGAUUAUUCUGAACAGUUUAGUCCCAAGAGAAUAGCUUUAAAAAAAAAAAAAACAAAAAACAACAAGAUUUGGAAUCAUUGUGGGUUAUUUUUGGUGGGAUGGAGGAUCUUAAAAAUGCCUAGUUGUGAGAGAAUCAAUUGCUGAAAGUGUUAAAAUUUCUGAAAAUAAAUGCUUAAUUACAUAUACAGGAAUUAAAUAGUUUGGAAGAGGGCUGGAUUGUCAUUACCUUUACAAUACUGUAUAAUCAGAAGUUCUCUGAACCUCAAUUGUACAUCUAGACAUAAAAAUUGUUUUCUGUAUAGGAUGUUGUUUGGUUUGUUUCUGAGUGUUUAAAUUUUUCAAAAACAAAUGUUAAAUUUGUGCUUCAGUACCUAGAUAAAUUGGAAAGGUUAAUGUUCUAGUUUCUGGAAGGUAAGCCUGGGAGACACAUAAGCAAUUCACUGCUAUAAUUUAGUUGAUGUAAAAUGACGGAAACUGACUCAAUAUGUCAGGUUUAACUCUGCCCAAAAGCAGCAGACAUGUAAGCAGAUGUGCAAUAAAAAAUGAUCUUGAUCCAUUUC
rnacentral:sRNA from 1 species